GUGCGAGACCGAUAGCGAACAAGUACCGUGAGGGAAAGAUGAAAAGAACUUUGAAAAGAGAGUUAAAGAGUACCUGAAACUGCUGAAAGGGAAGCGAAUCGUAUCCAGUGUCUAUAAUCUGCGGCAUAUUUCAUUGGCGGCGGUGUGCGUGCCUUGGCUUUGGAAGCGGCUUUUGUUGCUCUGUGCUUUGGUGUUGCGCGUUGGUGCUGAUGCCCUGUGUUGCGGUGGGACGUCAGAGUCAGUUCGUAUGCUGCGGGAAAUGUCUACCGAGGAGGUAGGUCAGGAGCUUGCUCUUGGCUGUUAUAUCUUGGUGGUUUGUUGUCGUGGUUGGGACUGAGGUGCCUACAAUGUGCUUUUGAGUGUGCCGGGUUCUCAUUUGGUGGACUGUUUGGAUAGCUUGCUAUGCUUGUGGUUUUUUCAUCGGGUGAUUGAGUCUGGUGGUAACUUGUUGCUGUUCGGGACUUUGAA
rnacentral:rRNA from 1 species